CAAAGUGCGCGAAUGUAAACGUGCCCUGGCUAAUUAUGCACUACUAAUUAUUCAUAGUGCUGACGUCAUCCCUGACAUUAUUUAUUUACAAUCGUAGUAGUCCGCUCAACGGAUGGAUGGCGCUGACCGUCUCUAUCAUGGCGUCAUUAUGAAGACACAGGGGCCUAUGGGAGUUGCGCUACCUGUUUAGAUAUACCUUGGAGUAACGUCAGCUGGCUGGAGCGGCUUCGGGUUCGGCAUAGUUUCGGAAUAGCACUGACAGCACAGUCACGGCGUCCACCUGUGUUCCGUGUUCUGGCGUUGGUUGUGGCCGUGUCAGCAGUGUCAGUCGACGUUGUUUGCAAUACGGUCAAGAUGGCACUUCGCACGGAUGUGUGUGCUUUGUGCUCAGGAUCUAUCUUUGGUCGUCAUACCAAACAGAAAAACAAGCAAAAGGGGCUUACCUGCUCUGGCCCCUGUGGUAGAAAAUUUCACUAUGCAGUACAUGAAGACUGACACAGACCAAACAUACCUGGACCAGAAGGGGUUGCAAAAAGAUAACUAUUUGAUCAGGAGGAAGGGGAAGCAGCAUUUCCUCCAAGCCAUACUGAGGGGAGAGACUUUUGAGCACUGCCAGUGACAGAUGCCUUUCAUAGAGUCCCGUCUUUUCAUCCAAGAUCACUCCGAGUAAACUGCUCACAACUUCUUCAUUUUGGGGUAUCCUGUACCAAACACCAGCAUUAAAUCCAGUCUUCGCAGUGUUUUUCAACAUUUGACGUGCAACCGAGAAAUAUGUAAAGCUCAAUAAAGCGGCUGUACCCACAA